CCCGACGUGUCCCAAAAAAACCCCGACGCCCACCCCACUCCCAGCUUCCCUAACCUCCCCACGACUACCUCUUUGCUGUCGCCCGAGCCUCUCCCACCAGCGCGCCGCCGCCGCUGCCCGAGGCCCCUCCGACCAGCGCGCCGUCGCCGCCCGGGGCUCCUUCCCACCAGUGCGUCACCGCCGCCCCUAAGCCCCUCCGACCAACGCGCCGCCACCGUCCUGAUCCCCCUACGACCAACGCGCCACCGCUGCCCCGAUCCCCCUCCGACCAGCACGCCGCCGCCGGCGCCAAGCCCCUCACACCAGCGCGUCGCCGCCGCCCCGAUCCCCCUCCCACCAGUGCACCACGGCCGCCCCAAACCCCCUUCCAUGACCAUAUCACCCGCACCAUCGGCCGCGCCUCCCUCCUGCAUGCCACCUGCGGCUUCCACGCCAUGGAAGGUACUGAGCCAUUGCGGUAGUACAACUGCAUGCUCCACCGCCGGUCAUGAGAAGAGCUGCGUGCAGGCCACCCGUGGUCUUUCCUGGAUCCGACUCAGUCGUGUCCCUCUCAUCCUCUCUCUGUUUGUGUGCGUAUGAAGGAAGUAGGAGGAGAUAAAACAAGGGAGUGAGAGAUCCCCAUUGUCAUGUAUGUGAGAUGUGGGUGUGUGAUUUCCCAAUGUCAAAUCCCAUGUUUGUGUUGAUUAGUUGUAGUUUCAUGGAUCUGGUUCUUAUGCAAUGUAAAUCCGUGCAUAGUUCACUCAUUGUUUCUCUAAAACUAUGAGCCGAUGAUAGAUUAGAGAUGAGUUGACGGUGUGGGUUCCGGUAGUGAGAUUUGCAGCUAGUUUGUUUACUUGUUUAUGUGGUUGCAAGGGAAUUCUAUUUGAUUACAGUUAGGCCACCAGUUAGUAUUGUGGUAUUCUGUUGCAACAAAAAUGGGUCGCCGGUUCAGUUAUAGGCACCCAACUCUGAAGAUUUUGAAAUUUUGCAUGGUAUUUUAAGUUUGGUUUCUAUCAUAUAAUGUAAAGUUGUAAACAUGUUUCCAAUGGUCUUUGCUCCCAGUUCUGAACUUCUUAUUCAGUCUAUUAGUACAGUCGUAGUGGUGGCCACCCCGACGCCUAGCCCGCCAACACGCAUCGCGCGCUGCCCCAGGGCCCCCGAGCACUGCCGCGCACCGUCGCCGGUGCCUGACGGUGCGGGCCACCAUCGCUGCCCGACGAAUGGGGAGUCUGAUCAUUUGCUGGUCAAAAUCUGACAACAAUCGGAGGAGGAAUGCGCAACAAGCAAGUCUAUCAUCGAUGGCAAGUUAUAGCUAGCAACAGGCCCAUCUGCGUGGUAUGCAAACAGGAGUACUGAUGGACAUAUGAGGGAUCAUUGUUUCUUAUUGGAGAAGGCCUGGUGUUUAGUUGGUGUCUGUGUGGUACCUACACGGCUACACCAGCAUUUUCCAUCAACACCUCCAGAAAAAGAGAUAAUCUCCAGGUGAAAACACAAAAUCCUUUUACUGCUGUCUUUAUUGUUUCACUCAUUCAUUUUAUUAUAUGUACACAAAUUAAUGUCAUCCUGAAUUUAUUACACCGGUGCGGGAGCAAAAAACAGAUGCGCAAGUUAAUCUUUGUGACACUCAAUUCGAAUUUUGAUUUUAGUUCAGUGCAAUUAUUUUUUUUUGUUCAGUUCAUUUUCUUAUUUUAGUAUGGUGCCUUAUUGCAUUUCUACUCUUAUGAAUUUUGGUGACCACAACCCAGUCCGGUGGUUCAGAUAUUCAUUUUCGAGAAGUACUGCAAAUAAAAAUUAAAAGCUCGUCCAUCAAAAAGGUUCACAUUAGGAUUAUACUGUUUCACAUGGUAUUGUCCAGUAAGUACAUGUUCUAUAGUUGGUUUCUGUACUAAACUCAUUAUUAGUUUGGUUUGUAUUAUUUUUUCAGUUCAUGAAAAAACACAAAAUAGUUGGGUGCGUGCGCAAAAAUAUCAACAAUACACGUUUCAAAAUUAUGUACGUUCAAUCUGUGUGUUGCUACAAAUUUGCACUUCUCGUCCAAUACUCACUUUGAUACAUAUUUAGGAAUUACCUUUUUUAACUUUGGCAUCCCCCGACGCAUCGCGCCCCUAGAGAGGCCACGUGUUGGAUCCAGUAGGGCAACGCUGUUGACACCGACACCAUAGUCCUCCGGUGUCACCCUCCCCGUCCAUGUCCAGGUAUAGGACAAACACUAGUCCAGCUCUUCCUCGUUUCUCCGUCCAAGCUCCGCGUGCCAUGCUUGAUGGUCAUUUCAUCACUAUAAAACAUAAUUUCUUUCAGUUCUAAACGUGGACAGUUCUAGGAACAUUGUUGUGCAGACCAAAAGUGUGUCAUGGAUGUUCUCUUCACAAAUUUUGUGUUUUGGAGUAAGUCAAUUUCGAUUGUUGACACAGUAGCUUCUAGUUUUUUGCAAUGGAUUUGGAGAUAUGAAAAAUGAUUGAUUUUGAACAGUACUUUGCUGUGUGAUAUUUUUGAAACUAGGAUGACCUCGUCCUUCGUCUGCUUCUCUUUUCCAGCCGCAUCCAGGACGACCGGGACUCGCUGCCACUAGCUGUUGGUGCACCUUCUGUUAGCUCCCAGCUGUUACCUAGUGUGCUUGAUGCUACUGCUACAAAGAAGGUUGAAGGAGAUCCCUUCACUUCAAUGGAUUCAACAAAAAUAAUCCCUGCUGCCACUGCAUAAUUUGUGUAGGGGGCUUCUAUAGUGAUGGCAUCCCGAGUUCGACAAACUUUUAAAAAAUCGUGUUCGGAAUCAAAUGUGACCGUAUUCAAAUUUGUUUUUAGAACGUAAGGAAUUAGAAAAACAUUUCAAUAUGAAAAUGUUGCGCAUUUUCCAUAGCUUUCCAACGCCAUAUCACUUGCGUCAAUCCGACAAACCAUUUGGACAAAAAUGUGAAAAUACUUUUCACCCAGAAUUUCACCAUUUUUCCAAUUACUUUUAAAAUGUAUAGAAUUUGAAAAAACAAUAGAUAUAUGGAAGAUGCAGAUUUUUACCAACUUUCCAACGCCAUCUUAUUUGCACAAUUCCGACAAACUGUUUGAAAACUGAGUCCAAAAUACGAUUCAUGUUUUCGGUUUUGAAAAAAAUGGUUUCUUCAAAACAGCUCUUCAACCGUAAUGAUUUUGCAAAAACGUUCAAUAUACUUGAUAUGUAGUUGUCAAGAGCUUUCCAAUGAUAUAUUACACGCACCGUUCUGACCAAAAAAUUACAAUUUUUUUUGAACUAAAGAAGACAAUCUGUUAAACAGAAUUGAAAGCAUUAGUUCAACCGCUCCAAAAUCAUCAGUACAACCAUCUGAAACUGUCAGUGCAAGUAG